rnacentral:rRNA from 1 species
CACGCNGUAAACGCUGAGUGCUAGGUGUUAGGUCCUUUCCGGGACUUAGUGCCGACGCUAACGCAUUAAGCACUCCGCCUGGGGAGUACGACCGCAAGGUUGAAACUCAAAGGAAUUGACGGGGGCCCGCACAAGCGGUGGAGCAUGUGGUUUAAUUCGAAGCAACGCGAAGAACCUCACCAGGUCUUGACAUCCCGAUGCCCGCUCUAGAGAUAGAGUUUUACUUUUUGUACAUCGGAGACAGGUGGUGCAUGGUUGUCGUCAGCUCGUGUCGUGAGAUGUUGGGUUAAGNNNNNCAACGAGCGCAACCCUUAUUGUUAGUUGCCAUCAUUAAGUUGGGCACUCUAGCGAGACUGCCGGUAAUAAACCGGAGGAAGGUGGGGAUGACGUCAAAUCAUCAUGCCCCUUAUGACCUGGGCUACACACGUGCUACAAUGGUUGGUACAACGAGUCGCAAGCCGGUGACGGCAAGCUAAUCUCUGAAAGCCAAUCUCAGUUCGGAUUGUAGGCUGCAACUCGCCUACAUGAAGUCGGAAUCGCUAGUAAUCGCGGAUCAGCACGCCGCGGUGAAUACGUUCCCGGGCCUUGU